UCAUGAGUGGCUGGAGAAAGGCAAGACAUCGAGUGGGCCGGAGAGUGCCCACCGCUCGAUCGGCUCGAUGAGGAUGAAACCCCCAUCGAGCGGCCCUGACAUGGCCAUCGAGAGAUAGAGGAUGGCAAAGAAGGAACCAGAGCUCCAGAACACGACGGCAUGUGAUCGGAUGUCGACGAUGGCCUGUGAUCGGGAGGCGACGGUGGCAGAGCCUUCAUAGACUGGGAGGGGGUGGAGUUGGUAGAGGAGGUGUCACCGUGCCGAAGAGGGUCUUGAACAUGGUCUCAGCCAC
rnacentral:lncRNA from 1 species